rnacentral:rRNA from 1 species
UACGAAGGGGGCUAGCGUUGCUCGGAAUUACUGGGCGUAAAGGGCGCGUAGGCGGCACUGUUAGUCAGGCGUGAAAGUCCUGGGCUCAACCUGGGAACUGCGCUUGAUACGGCAGAGCUAGAGGAUGGAAGAGGGUCGCGGAAUUCCCAGUGUAGAGGUGAAAUUCGUAGAUAUUCGGAAGAACACCAGUGGCGAAGGCGGCUCACUGGCCCGGUACUGACGCUGAGGUGCGAAAGCGUGGGGAGCAAACAGG